rnacentral:rRNA from 1 species
UCCGGUGACAAUAGCGAGGAGGUCACACCCGAUCCCUUCCCGAACUCGGAAGUUAAGCUCCUCAGCGUCGAUGGUACUGCCGCGGACACGCGGUGGGAGAGUAGAACAUCGCCGGAA